rnacentral:rRNA from 1 species
GGGGGGGAUAAUACCA